rnacentral:piRNA from 1 species
UGGGCUGGCACGAGACAUGUAAGGCAAA